AGAGUUUGAUCCUGGCUCAGGACGAACGCUGGCGGCGUGCCUAACACAUGCAAGUCGAACGGAGAAUUUCAAAGAGCUUGCUCGGAGAAAUUUUUAGUGGCGGACGGGNNNNNNNNNNNNNNNNNNNNNNNNNNNNGCUGGCGGCGUGCCUAACACAUGCAAGUCGAACGGAGAAUUUCAAAGAGCUUGCUCAGAGAAAUUUUUAGUGGCGGACGGGUGAGUAACGCGUGGGUAACCUACCCAUAAACCCGGGACAACCCUUGGAAACGAGGGCUAAUACCGGAUAAUCUUUGAGAGUGGCAUCACUCUUAAAGAAAAGGUGGCCUCUGUAUAUGCUACCGAUUAUGGAUGGACCCGCGUCUGAUUAGCUAGUUGGUGGGGUAAAGGCCUACCAAGGCGACGAUGCGUAGCCGACCUGAGAGGGUGACCGGCCACACUGGGACUGAGACACGGCCCAGACUCCUACGGGAGGCAGCAGUAGGGAAUUUUCGGCAAUGGGCGCAAGCCUGACCGAGCAACGCCGCGUGAGUGAUUAAGGCCUUCGGGUUGUAAAGCUCUGUUGUAAGGGAAGAAUGAUUGGCUUGAAAAUAUUGAGUGCAUAUGACGGUACCCAAGGAGGAAGCCCCGGCUAACUACGUGCCAGCAGCCGCGGUAAUACGUAGGUGGCAAGCGUUAUCCGGAAUUAUUGGGCGUAAAGGGAGCGUAGGCGGUUUGAUAAGUCUGAGGUGAAAGUUCGGGGCUCAACUCCGAAUUGCCUUAGAAACUGUCAGACUAGAGUGCAGGAGAGGGCAAUGGAAUUCCUAGUGUAGCGGUGAAAUGCGUAGAUAUUAGGAGGAACACCAGUGGCGAAGGCGACUUCCUGGCUUGUAACUGACACUGAGGCGCGAAAGCGUGGGGAUCAAACAGGAUUAGAUACCCUGGUAGUCCACGCCGUAAACGAUGAGUGCUAGGUGUCGGGGGUAUCGACCCCCUCGGUGCCACAGCUAACGCAAUAAGCACUCCGCCUGGGGAGUACGGUCGCAAGACUGAAACUCAAAGGAAUUGACGGGGGCCCGCACAAGCGGUGGAGUAUGUGGUUUAAUUCGACGCAACGCGAAGAACCUUACCAAGGCUUGACAUCCUACGAAUCCUGUGGAAACACGGGAGUGCCCUUCGGGGAGCGUAGAGACAGGUGGUGCAUGGUUGUCGUCAGCUCGUGUCGUGAGAUGUUGGGUUAAGUCCCGCAACGAGCGCAACCCUUAUCAUUAGUUGCCAGCAGGUUAAGCUGGGCACUCUAAUGAGACUGCCGGUGAUAAACCGGAGGAAGGUGGGGAUGACGUCAAAUCAUCAUGCCCCUUAUGUUCUGGGCUACACACGUGCUACAAUGGCCGGUACAGACGGAAGCGAAGCCGCGAGGUGAAGCAAAACCGAGAAAGCCGGUCUCAGUUCGGAUUGCAGGCUGCAACUCGCCUGCAUGAAGUCGGAAUCGCUAGUAAUCGCAGGUCAGCAUACUGCGGUGAAUACGUUCCCGGGCCUUGUACACACCGCCCGUCACACCACGAAAGCCUGCAACACCCGAAGCCGGUGUAGUAACCGUAAGGAACAAGCCGUCGAAGGUGGGGCCGAUGAUUGGGGUGAAGUCGUAACAAGGUAACC
rnacentral:rRNA from 1 species